rnacentral:snoRNA from 1 species
AAUCCAUGCAUCGGACAUUUCCAAAUUAAAUCUUUAAAUUGUUCUCAAGCUUUAUAUAAUGUUUUAUCCUCUAAGUGCAAAAAAGACGUGAUGUCAUUUCUAAGCUU